AGUGAACGCUGGCGGUAGGCCUAACACAUGCAAGUCGAACGGCAGCACAGUAAGAGCUUGCUCUUACGGGUGGCGAGUGGCGGACGGGUGAGGAAUACAUCGGAAUCUACUUUUUCGUGGGGGAUAACGUAGGGAAACUUACGCUAAUACCGCAUACGACCUACGGUUGAAAGCAGGGGAUCUUCGGACCUUGCGCGAUUGAAUGAGCCGAUGUCGGAUUAGCUAGUUGGCGGGGUAAAGGCCCACCAAGGCGACGAUCCGUAGCUGGUCUGAGAGGAUGAUCAGCCACACUGGAACUGAGACACGGUCCAGACUCCUACGGGAGGCAGCAGUGGGGAAUAUUGGACAAUGGGCGCAAGCCUGAUCCAGCCAGACCGCGUGGGUGAAGAAGGCCUUCGGGUUGUAAAGCCCUUUUGUUGGGAAAGAAAAGCAGCAGGUUAAUACCCCGCUGUUCUGACGGUACCCAAAGAAUAAGCACCGGCUAACUUCGUG
rnacentral:rRNA from 1 species